GUGCUCAAUUUGGCAGUACAUAUACUAAAACUGGAACAAUACAGAGCAGAUUAGCAUGGCCCCUGCACAAGGAUGACAUGCAAAUUUGUGAAGUGUUCUAUAUCUUA
ensembl:snRNA U6 U6 spliceosomal RNA